rnacentral:rRNA from 1 species
GUAGGGAAUAUUGCGCAAUGGGGGAAACCCUGACGCAGCGACGCCGCGUGAGGGAUGACGGCCUUCGGGUUGUAAACCUCUUUUAGUAGGGAAGAAGCGAAAGUGACGGUACCUGCAGAAAAAGCACCGGCUAACUACGUGCCAGCAGCCGCGGUAAUACGUAGGGUGCAAGCGUUGUCCGGAAUUAUUGGGCGUAAAGAGCUCGUAGGCGGCUUGUCGCGUCUGCUGUGAAAACCCGAGGCUCAACCUCGGGCCUGCAGUGGGUACGGGCAAGCUAGAGUGCGGUAGGGGAGAUUGGAAUUCCUGGUGUAGCGGUGGAAUGCGCAGAUAUCAGGAGGAACACCGAUGGCGAAGGCAGAUCUCUGGGCCGUAACUGACGCUGAGGAGCGAAAGCAUGGGGAGCGAACAGGAUUAGAAACCCGAGUAGUCC